UCGCCGGCACCACAUACGUGGGCCGACUUGCAUAGCGAUCCUAGAAUUGUUUAAAGUCGCCUAGAUCUACCACUUGCGUGGCUGCAAAGGCUUCUACAAGUGUACACUGCGGAAGGAAUCAUUCCUGCAAGACUUGUUCUACGGAAA
rnacentral:misc_RNA from 1 species